rnacentral:lncRNA from 1 species
AGUGUGGCUAUGACUUGGAGCUGCUCACCAGUUCCAGUCAUUCUGUGGUUGAGAGCUGCUCCCUAUGGAUGUUAAUUCUUCUCUAUUUUAGAUUUUCCACAGGUGUGGGCCCCAUUAGCUCUGGCCACCUGAGAAAGCCCUCAGGCAAAGAGUCGCAGGUGAAAGCCAGCAGUUAGAGGUUCACAGAAAUGAGUGCAGAAGCAUCUUCAGUUGGAGAGCCAUUGCCUCUUGCUGUGAAAUAUUUGGGAAUCUUCAGAAACCAUGAAGAAUAACCUGCUAAAGGCCACCAAGUUCUAUUGAACAUCAUGAAUCCUAUGCUCAAGUGAGAUCAGCUCAAGUGAGACCAGAUAUCUGAAGACCUUUUCAUUUUCGCCACCCUCAAAUGAAGGCAUGCAAGGCCUUUUAAAACUGAGGAUUUUUUCUCUGGAAAUGGUUAAUUAAAUCAGUGAGGAGAGAAAAUAUUAACAGGAUCUACUCAAAAUAUAUGAAAACAUAUGUCCACAAACAAUCAACCAACCAACAAACAAAAACUUGAAGAAUAAUAAUCUUCAAAACAUUCUUCAUAGUGGCCCCUAAAUGGAAAAAAUCCAAAUGGUCAUCAAAAGAAAAAUGAGUAAGAAACUGUACUAUAUUCAUACAAUGGACUACUACUCGGCACACAAAGGGGAAUGAACUACUGAUGAAGGCAUUAACAUGGAUGAACCUCAAUAUAUUUAUGUUGAGUAAAAAAUACAGGAAGAAGGAAGUACAUAUUAUAUGGUUCCAUUUACAGAAAGUUCUAGAACAGGCAAAACCAUCCAUGGUGAUAUAAAUCAGGAUGAGAUUGCCUCUGGGAAGGGAGAGGGAAAUAAUCGACUUGAAAGGUCAUAACCCAGAGAGUAACACAAUAAAAUAUAACACAAUAAAAUAUAAGUGCUCUCAUAGGAGACACUGUGAUAUUUUAAAUGAUUGCUGAAAGAACUAAUAUUCUUAAGAAUAAAAUACUAUGAAAUCCA